rnacentral:rRNA from 1 species
UACGUAGGGGGCGAGCGUUGUCCGGAGUUACUGGGCGUAAAGGGCAUGCAGGCGGUCGGACGCGUUUCGGGUGACAGCGGGUGGCUUAACUACCCGAGUGGUCGAAAGACGGUUUGACUUGAGGACGCGAGAGGGACACGGAAUUCCGGGUGGAGUGGUGAAAUGCGUAGAGAUCCGGAGGAACUCCGAAGGCGAAGGCAGUGUCCUGGCGCGUAACUGACGCUGAGGUGCGAAAGCCAGGGGAGCGAACGGG